CCUCCUGUGCUGUGCUGGCUUCAGCACUGUCAGCUCUGUUCCCUGCCCAGGUUUGUGUUGAGGAAGAAGGGCCCUGCUGGAAUUCUGGAAUUCUGCUCUCCUCAGGCAUCAUCACCCUGCAGCUGCUCUCGCUUGUGGCUUCUUCCCCCAUCACAUCACUGGCCAGCAAUGCCUUGAGGAGGGGACAGUGACACUGAGCCCAAGAAAUGCUGUCAGCCACAUUUCCCAGAGGGACGGCUCUCUCUGCUCUUCGCGUGGGAUUGGUCUCUGCUGCCCCUUUCAGGGAACAUCUGUAAGCACAUCACAUCUGUAAAAAAAGGCAGGAAAGGUUGAUCUGCUGGACCAAGAAGUUGUCCUGAAUUUCCUCACCUCUCCAAAUGCCUCAUGUUUGCCAACUUCUGCUCCUGGCCAGCCACAGUUUGUGUUCUCUGGCCACCUGGGACCUGAUCUCCUUCCUCUGACACUUCCACAGAGCAGCCCCUGGGAGAGACUUUCUGGCUCUGAUUUUAGCACUCCAAGCACAGGGCCUGGGAUGGCUUUCCCAGGAUCCUGGCAGAUUUAAAGGCCAAUAUUGCUCCCAUGCACCCACACUGAGGGUGUCCUUGUGGGUGUGACCCUGGAGCCAGCUUCUCAUGCAGGACACCAGGGUGAAACUCCCUUCUGGCACCCAGGCCUUGCACCUACAAAGUCUGUGUGGCUGGUGUCUUUGAACAUUCCCUGGGACUGUUUCCUGAAGACAGAGCAGCAUCUGGCCCUUGGCUUUUAGGAGAGUUUCCCAACAUCAACCUCAAAUCAAAUGGAAACACUUUCCUCCCGCUUCAGACCAGGACAAUGACUGAGGGUGAGGUUUUAAGGCUAAUGAAGCUUUUGGUGUGUUUUUUUUCCUCCUGUCAGCUGAGGAGGUCCCUGGCACUAUGAUAAAAGCCCCCAGUGCCCACUGGGGCUCCUCUCCUUGUGGUGAACGUGCUCCUGAGAGACACAAAGGUUUCCCCAGAAGCACGUUCCCAUUCCAUGGCUCCAAUUAGAGAAGAUUUUCUGUGUUUGUUGCUAACAAUGUUCUUCCUUGCCUUUGGCUCAGC